GUGGGGAAUAUUGCACAAUGGGCGAAAGCCUGAUGCAGCGACGCCGCGUGAGGGAUUAAGGCCUUCGGGUUGUAAACCUCUUUCAGCAGGGAAGAAGUGCCUGGGUUUUCUUGGGUGUGACGGUACCUGCAGAAGAAGCACCGGCUAACUACGUGCCAGCAGCCGCGGUAAUACGUAGGGUGCAAGCGUUGUCCGGAAUUAUUGGGCGUAAAGAGCUUGUAGGCGGUUUGUCGCGUCUGCUGUGAAAUUUCGGGGCUCAACCCCGAACUUGCAGUGGGUACGGGCAGACUAGAGUGUGGUAGGGGAGACUGGAAUUCCUGGUGUAGCGGUGAAAUGCGCAGAUAUCAGGAGGAACACCGAUGGCGAAGGCAGGUCUCUGGGCCACUACUGACGCUGAGAAGCGAAAGCAUGGGGAGCGAACAGGAUUAGAUACCCCGGUAGUCC
rnacentral:rRNA from 1 species